rnacentral:tRNA from 1 species
GUUCCUGUAGUUGAAUCCAACAGUGGUUCUUCGGACCACAGGUCUUAGUUAAAGUCUGAGUAGGAAUU